AACGAACGCUGGCGGCAUGCCUAACACAUGCAAGUCGAACGAUACCUUCGGGUCUAGUUGCGCACGGGUGCGUAACGCGUGGGAACCUGCCCUUAGGUUCGGAAUACCUCCCCGAAAGGGGUUCUAAUACCGGAUAAUGUCUUCGGACCAAAGAUUUAUCGCCUUUGGAUGGGCCCGCGUUGGAUUAGCUAGUUGGUAGGGUAAAAGCCUACCAAGGCGACGAUCCAUAGCUGGUCUGAGAGGAUGAUCAGCCACACUGGGACUGAGACACGGCCCAGACGCCUACGGGAGGCAGCAGUGGGGAAUAUUGGACAAUGGGCGAAAGCCUGAUCCAGCAAUGCCGCGUGAGUGAUGAAGGCCUUAGGGUUGUAAAGCUCUUUUACCCGGGAUGAUAAUGACAGUACCGGGAGAAUAAGCUCCGGCUAACUCCGU
rnacentral:rRNA from 1 species